rnacentral:rRNA from 1 species
CUAGCGACUUCAGAGUUUGAUCCUGGCUCAGGACGAACGCUGGCGGCGUGCCUAACACAUGCAAGUCGAACGGACUUGACAGAGAGCUUGCUUUUUGUCAAGUUAGUGGCGGACGGGCGAGUAACGCGUGAGCAACCUGCCUCUCAGAGUGGAAUAACGUUUGGAAACGAACGCUAAUACCGCAUAACAUAUCCGGAAGGCAUCUUCGGGAUAUCAAAGGAGCAAUCCGCUGAGAGAUGGGCUCGCGUCCGAUUAGCUAGUUGGUGAGGUAACGGCCCACCAAGGCGACGAUCGGUAGCCGAACUGAGAGGUUGAUCGGCCGCAUUGGGACUGAGACACGGCCCAG